AUAGCUCUUACAAAGACGGUCAGAGAUUUCAUUUUAAAACACUAUUAAACCUAGAAGGUAGUAGCCAAAUUGGAGAGGAUGUUUGAUCCUCUCCCAAUUUUCCACUGCUGCAAAGCAGAGACUGAUAGUAAAUCAUUCUUUGCAGUCACUUCUCCUGUUUUUUAAGAAGAAGAAAUCAUUUUAGAAGUUUUUCUCUUUUUUUCCUUGCAAGAGCUUCAUAACAUCGGCACACAGCUUGUGAAACAGAGGGAGAGAACAGAAACCACAUCCGGAAGUAAUCAUCUCUGCAGCACUGUAAUGGAUUAUAUGUGUUAAAGGGGCCGUGGACUAAAUUAGCGUGAAGGCUAAAAAUAUAACAAGCAAAGACUGAGAAGGAGCUGGAAGAAAUUAAGAAGAAUGCUUUCCAACGUUUGGAAAUUCCUUGAACGAUGCACAUAUAAUGUAUAUGCAAUAACUCUUCAGUAAAGGAAAAGACAUAAAGAAAUGAGAGACUGCAUAAAAGCCUGGGCAAUUCUAUAUUUUAAAUAAUAAGGUGAAACGGCAAAAUGUUUUGUUCUACGUGGUAUCUGUUCAACUGUAAUUCUG
rnacentral:lncRNA from 1 species